GCCUUUUUAGUAUAACAAGUACAGUUGCCUUCCAAGUAACAAGUUUAAAUAUUUUAAAAAAGGUA
rnacentral:tRNA from 1 species